rnacentral:lncRNA from 1 species
AUUAGGACAAAAAAAUAGAACAUUUAUAGUAUAAGUGCCUCAGAGCUGCAGUUCAGCGUUACUCGCAACAACCAUAAUCUUUUAAUCAGCAGAACUUCGAAAGCCACGACCUCAGGAAGUCACUCAUUGUGAUCUAUGAGAAAACACUCAGACACGUGAGAAGUCAGUGAAGUGCCUGAAGCACGAGGAGACAUGAGAGCGUUUCAUAUGUCAGCGUUCAUCAGGACGGUUCUCUUCACCGAGUGUCUGCUGACGAGUGUGACAGGAGAUGGGGACGAUUCUGAAGAGAAACUAGAGAUCAAGUACGUUCUGAUCGGCGUAGGCCUCGGCCUGCUUUUAGCUGCUUUGUUCAUUAUAGUCAAAAUCUGCAUCAUCAGGCAACACGUGUACGACAACUACACAGAGGAAAGCAUGAAGAGACCCUCAGAGCCCCACUUGUUCACUUUGAGCCAUCUGAGCCAAUCAGAGAAUCCAGUGCCAACGGUGUCCAAUGACGUGCGGGGUUAAAGGUCACGCAGAGUGAUUUACAGGAAGAAAGCGAUCUGUUGUCUUCUAAGAUAUCCAACCAGACUGUUUUACCUUCUCUGGCUGUCGCUUAAUAGCACGUGUCUUUACGGUUUUAAAAUAAAGGGUCUUAACAUUUUAUUAUGUAGUUUUUU